rnacentral:rRNA from 1 species
GAUGAACGCUGGCGGCGUGCCUAACACAUGCAAGUCGAGCGAUUCUCUUCGGAGAAGAGCGGCGGACGGGUGAGUAACGCGUGGGUAACCUGCCUCAUACACAUGGAUAACAUACCGAAAGGUAUGCUAAUACAGGAUAACAUAAGAGAUUCGCAUGUUUCUCUUAUCAAAGCUCCGGCGGUAUGAGAUGGACCCGCGUCUGAUUAGCUAGUUGGUAAGGUAAUGGCUUACCAAGGCGACGAUCAGUAGCCGACCUGAGAGGGUGAUCGGCCACAUUGGAACUGAGACACGGUCCAAACUCCUACGGGAGGCAGCAGCGGGGAAUAUUGCACAAUGGGCGAAAGCCUGAUGCAGCAACGCCGCGUGAGUGAUGAAGGCCUUCGGGUCGUAAAACUCUGUCCUCAAGGAAGA